rnacentral:rRNA from 1 species
AGCGAACGCUGGCGGCAUGCCUAACACAUGCAAGUCGCACGGGGGGGCUUCGGCCUCCCAGUGGCGGACGGGUGAGGAACGCGUAGGGACCUGUCGAGGGGUGGGGGAUAACCGCGGGAAACUGCGGCUAAUACCGCAUGACGCCGCGGCGUGACAGCCGGGGCCAAAGGCGAAAGCCGCCCGCCGAGGGGCCUGCGUCCGAUUAGCUGGUUGGCGGGGUAGCGGCCCACCAAGGCGUCGAUCGGUAGCUGGUCUGAGAGGGUGGUCAGCCACACCGGGACUGAGACACGGCCCGGACUCCUACGGGAGGCAGCAGUGGGGAAUAUUGGACAAUGGGCGCAAGCCUGAUCCAGCAAUGCCGCGUGGGUGAAGAAGGUCUUCGGAUUGUAAAGCCCUUUCGGCGGGGACGAUAGUGACGGUACCCGCAGAAGAAGCCCCGGCUAACUUCGUG